UACGUAGGGGGCAAGCGUUGUCCGGAUUUAUUGGGCGUAAAGAGCGUGUAGGCGGCCAGGUAGGUCCGUUGUGAAAACUCGAGGCUCAACCUCGAGACGUCGGCGGAAACCCUCUGGCUAGAGUCCGGAAGAGGAGAGUGGAAUUCCUGGUGUAGCGGUGGAAAUGCGCAGAUAUCAGGAAGAACACCCGUGGCGAAGGCGGCUCUCUGGG
rnacentral:rRNA from 1 species